UGUAUAAAAACUGAAGCCCUCAGAGCCAAAUGUUAUUUGUUCUUCUGUGACUGAGGUGAACUCUAAUCUGCUCAGGUAGAAUUUAAUAACAGCGUGUCUGAACUGUACUUGACUUGAUCUCUGCUCAUCUCCAGGCUUCACUUCUCAUUCGGGCAUUUGAUUCACUAAAGACAUCUUCACCACCUGCUCUUCCAGACGACGGACUCGUGCCCGAACACCUGCAGGUUAACCAACCAUCCACUGAUCAGUAAGGUAAAAAAUAAGGAAACAAUGAGGAUCCUGUUUGCCUGUUUGCUGCUUGUGAUGCUCUUUUCCACUGGACUCUCAAAACUAGCUAAUCGUCAACUCAAAUGGCCGCAGAAAGAAACCCGUUAUGAAAAGUUUUUACAACAACAUGUAGAUGCUAGUAUGACUGUGGAAAAAUGUGAUGAAGAAAUGAAAAAAAAGUGGAUCUACAAUGUUGACAACAGUUGUAAGUUUACUAACACGUUCAUCCUUAGUAAUGAGAAACAGGUCAAAGACAUUUGUAAACGCCAAGGAUCACCUUAUGAUACUUCCCUUACAAAGAGUAAAGAAAAGUUUAAUAUUGUUAUAUGUCAACUAAAUAAUGGAGCCAGGAAACCCAACUGUCAGUAUAAUGGCAGACUUCACAGUAAUGUGAGAGUUGUAGUCCAAUGUAAAGGAGGGUUACCUGUGCACUAUGCAAAGCACAUAGAGACUAUUGAAUCCAAUAACGCAACUACAGGAAAGAUCCCCAUGGACUCUACUUCUGUACCCACAAAUAUACAUGUCUGAGAUAACAAAGGAGCAACAUUUAUCAUCAGCUCUAACUAAAAGUGACUGGAAACAUCUUCCAUAUUAUAGGUUUUUACUUGAGCCUGUCUUUUAAGUGCAUACAUGUUUUGCAUGUGUUCAACUUCUAUUUCCACACAUAUUGUAUGAAAAACAGUUAAACGAUUUUUUCUACAAUGCUGUAGAAAUGCAUGUAGAAAAAAAAACAUAUUAAAUGUAACUGAUAAGAAAAAAGACAAAGGAGUAAAAAAACAUGAAAUUUGUUAUUUGGUUCUUUUAUCAUCGAUACUGAUAUAUUAAGAUCAGUGACCACAGAAUACAGAUGUAUGUACUACAGUUAUGUGCUAAAAUAAUGUGAAAGGUGAUUUUGGCGACUCUUGGAUCCAGCUUGCUUCUAAUAAAUGAUUUAUUGUCUGAUCACAAAAUAAAUGUGUAAAAAAAAUGUUCUUUGAACACUUCAAACAUCAGGACUCACAAGUUGACAUGUCUUUGCUCAGUGCCCUGUGUGUUUUUUAUAUGAUUUUUUGUUGUAUUGACAAAUUUACUUGUUUAAUUAGAAUCCACUAUGUACUUAUUUUGUCCUCAAUUACAAUAAACAAACACAGCACAAAAAAGCAAACACAAUAAAAACUAUUUGCUGCUU